GCGGGCGUAGUUCAGAGGUAGAAAGUCAGCUUCCCAAGCUGAAUGUCGGGGGUUCGAUUCCCCCCGCCCGCUCCA
rnacentral:tRNA from 1 species